rnacentral:rRNA from 1 species
UACGGGGGGGGCAAGCGUUGUUCGGAAUUACUGGGCGUAAAGGGCUCGUAGGCGGCCAACUAAGUCAGACGUGAAAUCCCUCGGCUUAUCCGGGGAACUGCGUCUGAUACUGGAUGGCUUGAGUUUGGGAGAGGGAUGCGGAAUUCCAGGUGUAGCGGUGAAAUGCGUAGAUAUCUGGAGGAACACCGGUGGCGAAGGCGGCAUCCUGGGCCAACACUGACGCUGAGUGAGCGAAAGCCAGGGGAGCAAACGGG